AGCAACUUGAAUCUUUAUCAGAUUGGGGCAUGCGGUGAUCUAGUUAUAUCUGAAUCAACAGGAAAGAGUAGGCAAAAUCUUGGGGCAUUGGCAGAGUACUGUGGAUCUCCUAAACACAUGUCAAACUCAGAAGGAUCUUCAAAAAGUUUGUACAGAGAAGUUCAAGCUGCGAUAUUUGGGGCACCCAAUUUUUAUACUAUUGAAUUUGUUAUUCUUGGAAUACUUCAUUCUUUUCAAAUAUACUUCCCAA
rnacentral:lncRNA from 1 species